UACAGAGGUCCCAAGCGUUGUUCGGAUUCACUGGGCGUAAAGGGUGCGUAGGUGGUGAGGUAAGUCGGAUGUGAAAUCUCCGAGCUCAACUCGGAAAUGGCGUUGGAAACUACCUUGCUCGAGGGUUGGAGGGGGGACUGGAAUGCUUGGUGUAGCAGUGAAAUGCGUAGAUAUCAAGCGGAACACCAGUGGCGAAGGCGAGUCCCUGGACAACUCCUGACACUGAGGCACGAAAGCUAGGGGAGCAAACAGG
rnacentral:rRNA from 1 species